rnacentral:rRNA from 1 species
UGCCUACGGGGGGCAGCAGUGAGGAAUAUUGGUCAAUGGCCGAGAGGCUGAACCAGCCAAGUCGCGUGAGGGAAGAAUGUCCUAUGGAUUGUAAACCUCUUUUGUCAGGGAGCAAAGUCACCCACGUGUGGGUGUUGGAGAGUACCUGAAGAAAAAGCAUCGGCUAACUCCGUGCCAGCAGCCGCGGUAAUACGGAGGAUGCGAGCGUUAUCCGGAUUUAUUGGGUUUAAAGGGUGCGUAGGCGAGGCGACAAGUCGGCGGUCAAAUGUCGGGGCUCAACCCCGGCCUGCCGUCGAAACUGCCGU